rnacentral:piRNA from 1 species
UGGGCCACUAAAUACCUUAAUGUCAUUU